CACUAGAUCACCAGGCAGGUUUCUCUGUUGAAAAUAACAGGAUCCGACUCUAGUUAACGUAAGCAGAAAAGGAAUGCACUGGAAGGGUAUUGGGUACUUCAGAGAAUGGGCGGGAGGCCUGGAAAAUUAGGCCAGCACAGAGGCGGUUGCUAAGGGAGGUUGGCCAGAACACUGACCAAAAUCAUGCUACAGCUGGUUCUUGUUAGGACCCAGCCACCGCUGCUCUGGAUACUGACCUCGAACCCUGGACCCACGGGCACACCACCACCAGAGGGACCUCCAAACUGGGCCUGAUCACCGCAGACCACAGGUUGUUCACAGUUUCAGGACUGUUUCUGCAGCCGUCACAUGAUAGCAAAACGGUGGUAAGCAGUGCACGAGUCUGCGUCGAAGACAGCCAGAGUCCAUGCAUCGGGAGGUUCUCUCGGUUGGAGAAGGAACAAAGGGAAGACAUGCUCGGGCCAGGAGAUGCAGUUCCUCGCUCUCGCCACUAGAGGGAAUUCGUGAAGCUCCUCUCUGAAUGAGAAACCUGCCCCCACCGCCCAAAAGGCAAAGCUAAGACGAUAACCCAGAGUUCACCUAGACACAAGGUUCCUCAUAAAUAGACUCAGCCUCUCUGAAUCUCCUUCCUCAUCUGUCAAAUGGCGAUGGCAAUUAAACCCAUCUCACAGGGCUGUGAAGAUUCAUCAAGACAGUGGUUGUAAAACCCUUACCACACACAAAGCCUUCUUAGGGAAAACCAAGACUCCCUGACCAGCAAAAAGUUUGCCAGGUACUGUAUGGGGGCUGGAGUCCUGUUUCCCCUGCAAAAUGGAAAAAGGCUGAUGGGCACUUGGUGGGAUUCACAUCAUCACCCCAGGCCUCAGAUGGUAAUGUGCUUUGUGUCUGCAGCAUAAGGUCUAGCCCCAGUGCCCCUGUGAGCCCUGUACAAGCGUUGGUGUGGGUGUGGUGUCCAGAGCUCUGGGCUGGAGGUGGUGGGGCAGGGGCCAUGGAACCUGGUCUGCCCCAGCUGUGGUAGGGCUGGAAGGCCUCAGGUAGAUCACGUUCCCUCUCUGGGCUUUGUUUCCCAUCAGUGCAGUGAUGGGUUGAACACAGAAAUUCCUGGGUUCUGCAUUUGUUCAUCCAGCAUUCCUGAAGGCCCCUUAGUCGGCAGGAAAAGUUUGGGGCUUCAGGCCUGGGCCCAAGAUUCUGAUGCCCUCAACCCCUUGCUGGAGACCUUCACCCAGGGUGCAGGGGGCUCUUUCUUAGCUCCUGGAAGACAGAACCAGCCCUUCCCAGAAACGAGGCCCCGGACUGCUGCUGAGUACUCCUGAAAGGGAUCUCAGUAGGGCUAGGAUGCAGGGGCAGCCACCUGGGGCUCCCCUCUUCCCAACCCUGAACCC